rnacentral:lncRNA from 1 species
AUCAUAAACCUAAUUAUAUGUUAAUAUUGAUUCCCAUACGCUAGAAUUAGGGUUAAAAGUCUUGGAUAACUUGCAUGUACAAUAGAGAAACCUAGAUCCAAGCAUUAGGGUUUGUAUGAGCACAUAGGAUGUCUUAUGACCAAAACCCAUCAGUAGUAUCAGAGCCUAGCUUGGUUUCAAUUGUAUUGAUGCAUUGUAUAACUGGAAAAUUCGUUUUUUGGGUUUCUGGAGGCUGGACUCGCCGAGUCCAUGGCUGAACUCGCCGAGUCCAUGCAGACUCGACGAGUCCAAGCCUGACUCGACGAGUCAACUCGUCAGAUGGAGGGUAUUUCGGGAUUUCUUGCUGUUUUUGCUUAUGGAUAGUUACCUUAUCAUGUUAGAUCAAUAUUAAUCCGAUUAUAUGAUAUAUUUGACUAUAAUUUUGAUCUAAUUGAAGAUAUUUAUCAAUUAAUAAGAUAAUUGUUUCCUUAUAAGAUAAUUGAUUAAUUAUUUUGACUAAAUUGAUAAAUUGUUUUGCAAGAAAUCAUUAAAUAAAUCAAAUAUGGAUAAUUAUGUGAUUAAAUGUUAAUUUAAAUUAUUUGUUAUUUGAUCCUUGUUGUUAUGAAAAGUUUCAUAUUUUGCCCUUUAGGUUUUAUAGUUUAAAUUUGAACCCAAAAGUUUUGUUGUUUUGAAAUUUAAAUAGUUGAAACCCUAAUGUUUUGAAAAAGGUUUCAAAACUUGCCCUCAAGUUUUGGAAUUUAAAUUUUGAUUAAAUGGUUUAAUUUUGAUGUAUAUUUAAAUUCUAAACCCUAAUGUGUUGAAAUGUUUCAAAACUUGCCCUCAAGUUUUGGAAUUUAAAAGUUGAUUAAAAGUUUAAUUAGGAAUGUUAAAUUCUAAAACUCUAGUAUAGUUUUGAAAAAGUUCAAAUCACACCCUUAUGGUUUUAUUAAUUAAUUAAGGUGUAUAAUUAAAAGAGGUUUAAUAAAUCCAUAAAAGUUUAGGUUUACAAUUUAAUUGAAUUAAAAGUAUAAUUGUUAAAUUAGACCACCUAGUAUUUUAAAAGUAUAAAAUACACCCUAUACUAUAUAUAACAUUAAAAGUCUAACAUUAUAUAUAUGUAUGAGUAAAAGUCAGUCUUACCGUUAGUAGGCCUCAUUCACGAAGCUGGUCUAUAAGGGGUGUUUAAGGAAAUUGCCUAUAAAAUGGCGAUUGAAUGGGUAUCCACUCUUACCCACCGCACUCUUGACUAGUGGAGGGUCGUUAGCCGAACGGGUAGGAUAGGACGAAACCUUCCAUUAUAAGUAUAAUGAAUUAUUAAAGUAACUAAAUGUUUUCAUAAAAUUCCCAAUCUUAGUUACUUAGGCAAAAGUGAAUUGAUGCAAUUCCAUGAAAUUACACUUUGUGCCCUUGCGAAGACGUUAGUGGAGCGUGUGUGGUUUACCGGCACACUAAAUGGUUCUAAGCAAAGGUAGCAAAGGGUGACUCAAUGUUUGUCAUAGUUCGGUGGAGCGUGUGUGGUUUACCGGCACAUCGAAUAGGUGACUGUAACAUGUGAGGGCACCAUGUAAGUUUGCAUGGUUAUUCACACCCGCUUUGUGAUCCUCGGCAUCCCAGUCACAAACAAGAGGGGCAUAUCGAGAUUUAAACAUGCCAUUGAAAGUUCAAUGAAUCUCAAAGGAUCUAGGAGUUUUCAUAGAUUUAAAACUUAAAUUUCUUUUUCGUUUUUCAUGGUGGAAAUUAGUGAAUCGUCAUUCACUUACCUUCAAAUAUUCUGCAAUUAGGGUUACGGCAUCCCUCUCCCGAGUUGUAGAAUAUUGUGUUGGGUCCUAGCCUUAGUAUCUCAUUUGGGUGAUUUACUAAGGACUCAAUCAAUCAACUAACUUGAAUUCGUUUUCUCCCGUUUUGUAGAUGUCAAAGUUCGACAACUAUGGUCUUCCCAAAUCCCGUGGAACAAGCAUUCCACAUGAAGAUGAUAUUCCACGAUUCGAUCGAGGAACAAGAAAUCAUGCUUCACUUCCUCCUCCUCCUCCAAUUAUUCUCCCUAACCCACAAGUUCAAAGGCUUGAAAAGUUCAAGAUCACUCAAGCCCUUUUGGCAAGUAAACAUAAAGAAGGAAAGUCGGUGUGUGCACACGUCCUAGGGAUGAAGUCACACAUUGAUAGGUUAAGAAUGUUGGGAUCCGUUGUCUGUGAGGAAAUGGCUGUUGAUUGGGUUCUUCAGUCACUUCCUAACUCAUAUAGUGAGUUCGUAAGAGAGUACUAUAUGAUGAACCGCGACGUGACCCUUAUAGAUCUCACCUAUAUGCUUAUUGCUGCUGAAUCAGCAAUGGUUUGGCGCAAUAGAAAAGCAAAGUUGAUUGGUGAAUCUGCCUUCAAGACCUCUAUGGAUAUAGACAAUGGCAACGAAAGACAUGCUAUGAUCGAAAAGUUUGAUCAUAAGAGAAAGGCAAUGUCUGAAGUAGUUCCAUGUCAUGUUCCAAAAGAGUCAAUUUGCUUUUAUUGCCAAGAGAAAGGGCAUUGGAGACGAAGCUGCCCCAUUUACCUAAGAGAUCUAAGAGAUGGGAGAGUCGAAACGUAUGGCUCUAAUAUAGGUAAAAUCCAUUAACUAACUCUUUUAAGCUUCUAUUCUAGAUUCUUAAUACAUAAUGUGAUAAGAUUACAAUUGAUGUUUUGUAGGAUCGAAGAAAAGAAAGGAAGCUUAAGGGAAGAAGUGAGCAGAAUCUAACCGUGAAGGAAUGGAUUUCGAUCGCAUUUCUCGAAGAUUAGAUUCUUGAGCUACUACUUAGAGUUAGAAUUAGAUUGCUAAGAAAGAUGUAUUAGCAUAGUUUUUCAAUGAAUUGCAUUGUAAGGACAAAUUUUUUCCGCAAUAAAAUAAAUUUUGAUUUUAUAUUAUUUAUUUAUCCUUGCAAUGGCGUAUAUGAAAAAUUGAUGUUUGAAUGUUUCUAUUAUUAGCAAUAAUGGAUUUGGUUCUUAUUAUGUUAUUUAUGGAAAGUCGAGAAUUUACCAAAUAGGGAGAGUUUCUCAUCGCCCAAGUUUCAAUUGGACAGAAACUUGGAAUCAUGCAACUUGGUUGCACGAUGAAUGAGAAAUUUCAUAUUUGGAAAUUAGACUAAUUCAUUGACAAAGUGUCAAGUGAAGGACUAGGAGAUCGAGUACACAAAGUUGCGUGUUGAUCAAGUCCACCAUAAGAGUAACAAAGAUAUUCGUCAUGAUUUACUAAAGGUUUAGUAAAUAUGAUUAUACUUACAAGAUUAAGUGUAAUUCUGAAUUGAUUGAAAAAGUUUAAAUCAAUAGCAGAACGAAUAAGAAGAAUCAAGUAGGCAGAAAGAUAAAAGUUUCUCCAUUCUAAGAAGAAGGGAGAGUACCUUUUAUGCUUUAUGAUAGGUCUUAAUGAUUAAGAACCAUAUCUCAAUUGAUCCUCUAAGUGAGUCUUAGUACAAUUGUAUGUCUAAGAAGAGGAAUCAAGAAUUGAAGAAAUGGUUAAAUCAAGAAGUCAAUCAUACUUCGUUCCAAAACAAGUCUUAGAGUUAAGAUUGUGACAUUGAGUGAAAAGUAUUAAGAAGGUUUAUAACAUUCAUCAAAUGUGGAAAGUUGUGAUGUCUUGGAUAAGACAAAGACCAACUAGGACCAAUUUAUGAAGUGUUUUGAUAAAAGCUACACUAACUCUUGAAUAUUUGUUUGUCAAGAAAUGUUUAUUGACAAGAGAAUCUUAUAUGUCAAGGAGUCAGUGGGAGUCUUAAUGGUCUUGAAAGGUUUCAAGAACAAAUCAAAUAAACCUUAUCGAUCAUCACUAGCACACGAGUUGAGGUUUACAACCUAUCGUGUUGACAUUAUUUUGUUUCUGUGCCAAUCCAAUCGAGUUAAUUAUGCAUGUGAGUUCUAUGAGUUCUCAUUUUGAACGCAUAAAAGGCAAAGCACCUUAAUCAAUGAAAGGUACAUUGAUAGGAAAGGGUGAGCUGCUUAACUACUUGGAAGACAUGGUGGGCAGCUGUGCUACCAUAAGGCAAGAAAUCAAGAUUAAGAAAGUUCGGUCCAUAUGAGUUUGAAUUUGUCGUAAACUUUGGUUUUAACAAAUUCACAUGGAUAGGAACACAUACACCGUUUAAAUCUAAGUGUCAUAAGAUUUCCUCCUUCAUGAAAAUGAUUGUGAGGAAAUGCUUUCACUAAGAAAGAUUUUAAGAAGAUAGUGAUUGUAAAAUUGCAUUCUCGAAUUCGAUUAUGGUUACGGUAUCCCUUUCCAUAAUUUGAAUUGUGAGGUUUGGCAAUUAGUCUUAAUUGUUUAGACACACAUAUGAACUAUCGAAGGCAAAGGUGUAUAAGUUCAAGAAGCCUUGAUAAAAGAUUAUCAAAGCACUAAGUAUUAGAAACAUGAACUUAAGAAAUUCAAUAAGUAUUGUUUUUCUGAAAGUUAAGAUGUUUAUGAAUACAUGUCGAAGCUAGUGGGAGCAUAAGUGUUAUGUUUUAUAAUAAUCAUCAUGAUAGUGGGAGCAUAAAUGUUAUGAUUGUAUGAUUAUUAAGGCACGUAUUGCAAGUUGGCAAUAUUAAUUAUAGAAAACAAGAGUUAUACCUUGCAAAGUCGUAAGGGUUGUAAAGUUGUUUUGCUAUAAUUAAGGGAGAGAAUAUUAUGCUUCAUUUCAAAUCUAAAGGAUUAGGUUGAGAAAUGUUAAUAAAUUUAGUCAAAGGUACAUAGUGUGUUCUUAAAAUUUCGAUUAUGAUUACGGCAUCCCUCUUCACAAUUCGAAUUUUGAGAACAUAGCAAAUAAAACAUUAUGCGUCGUGUCCCAUACGCUUCGGGUAUAGGAUCGAUUGCAAAUGCUUUAAUGUUUGACCAUUCUAAAAUUUUCCAAAUGUCGAGCGCAUUUAGAGGGAAAAGGGACUAGAAUUGGUUUUGACUAAAAUAAUUAAACAACUAUCAAAGGACAAUCCAAAGUUCGACGAGGAUUGGUCGCUUGUGAGUAGUUGGAAGCAUGGUAUUGGAUGGACCAUAUCGACAUUAUUAUGAAUAGAAAAGAUUCUAUUAAGAAUGAGUUGUCAUAUGGAAAUUAUGGAAAUGUUUCCAUAUUGGAUGGACCAUAUCGACAUCAUUACGAAUAGAUAAGAUUCUAUUAAGAAUGAGUUGUCAUAUGGAAAAUAUGGAAGCGUGUCCAUAUUGGGAAUUGAAUAUUGAAAAUCUAUGUCUAGAUUAGAAACUUUUAUGCAAAAGGAUGUUCAAAGGAAUGUACUUUGAGUGAGAGACAUCAUAUCUAAGGAAUUGUCUUGUAACAAUCUCCGAUAGAGGACUUUGUAAUAUCAUUGGCAAUAGUCUUUGUGACUUUGGUGCAGUGACAUUACGAAAGGAUCAUUGCAUAGAAUGUUAGAAUCUAGCAUAUUCUAUAAGUAGCAAGAAUUUGAUAUUCUUUCACUUAUGAAAAAGGGAUUUGGAGUUGUGAAAUGAGAAGGAUUGGAAAUGUGUUCAAUGUGAUCUAUUUCACAAAGUAAGAACCAUAGGUAAACAUUGUGUGCAUGCUAGGAGCAUGGGACAAGUGUUGUAAUUCAAGUAAGAAGUUGAUUACCCGAAACGACAAAUAAUGAGUAAUCAAUAUGGUGAUAAAUAAAAGGUGUUUUAUUUAUACUCAAAGGUUUGAGGCCAUAUGGGAUUAGUAUUAUUCUUGUGUUUCACAUUUGCAUGUUUUGACUUCCAGAAUAAUUGAGUUUAUUAAGAAUAAUCGAAUUAUUCAAACGGGCCACAGUCGUUCAUAUGUUGGAAGUAGAUAUGAAUGAAGACUGUCGUGAAUUGGUGUGUGGAUUGUCUAAAAGAGUAUUAGACAUAAGCAAAUGUUUGCUGCAACGUUCAUGAGUGCUUAUGAAUAUGAUUUGAGCAUUGGAUUAAACCCACGCUCACUUGGAUCACUCCAUGAAUUGUAUCACGAGUGAUUGGUGAGACGAUAACAUCUUAUAUUCUUGAAACCGAGAUGUGUGAGUUGUAUCUUGCAAAUCGGUUGCACAUUGAUAAUAUGUAAACGCACUAGUAACUUGGUGUUAUAAAACAUAUUGUUGUGUGUGAUUCGGUGAGUGAGUGCAAGCAAGCAUUGUAUCAAAGUUUAUCCGUUCCUUUUAUCCAAAGUAGGAUAAAAGCGAUAUCUUUGGGCCCCUCGAUGGUUUAGUGAUGACAAACGUAAAUGCUCGGCCGGGCUAGGGCUAAUUUGAUUUGUUCAAUUAGUCAGUCGUCAUAAAUCGGAAAUCGAGAUAUAGUACAAAGAGAAUGAUUUGAAAUCAUAUCUCAUAUGAUAUCUAGAAUGGAGGAAUAUAUGAUCCCUUAUCUAAGGACACGCGUAUCUGAUAUGAUCAGAGUUGACAGCGGCUUUGGAAAGCUACGAUUGCAGAUCGGGAUCCGAAGUCAUACGCAGAAUAGUUGUUAGACUUAUCCAAGUGGGAGACUGUUGGAUUAGUGUCUAAGUCCAUAACUAUUUUGGUAUGUACUUGACCCGAUGGUGCAUGGUCCUUUUGGGUUGCCUUCACCAAAGCAACUUGAUUGGAGAAAUAAAUAGAGAGAGAGGUUAUUAUGAUUUAUUAAUAUGUUAUAAGAAUAAUAUAUUAAAGGAGAAAUCAUAUUUGUUUAAUUAAUAUUGGUCAAUAAUUAAUUAAGAAUUAAUUUUGUGAUCAAGUGUAAUUAAUUAAACUAGAGGGGCUGAAUUGUAAUUAUGUGAUAGUUACAAAAUAAGGUAAGGAUUAUCUUAUAUAUAUGGUGAACGAAUUUGAGGUGUAAAUCCCUUAGAAUUCGACUAGGAUAAGGGUUUCUAGGACUUAUCUUAUGGUUGCUUGGUGGACAAGCAACUAGAUAAGGAUAAGGACUAAAACCCUAAUCUUUACACCUAUAUAAACCCCCUAAGGCUUAUGAAUUCGUCCAACCCUUCCCAAGAGGUCCUAAGGACGAAUUCUAACCUCCCUCCUCUCUCUUUAUACCUUCUCCACUUGCUUAUGGUGUUUGUAAGCCAUUAGAGGAGUGACACUUGUGACUCUCAGCUUUCCAAGGUCAAUUCAAGGAGGAAUUGGAUUGUUAUUGCUAUAUAACAAUCAAGGUAUGUUCUUAAACCUAAUUACAUGUGAAUUCUGAUUUCCAUAUGCUAGAAUUAGGGUUCAAAGUCUUGGAUUCAAAGUAUGUACAAUAGAGAAACCUAGAUCCAAGCAUUAGGGUUUGUAUGACCACAUAGGAUGUCUUAUGACCAAAACCCAUCAUUAAUAUCUUAGAUGAUCUAGUAAUCUUACAUGAUUUCAUCCGUGAAAUCAUUCCAUUUUAUAGAUUUUCAAGAUCCACCAAGAACACCAACAACACACACUCGUGUUCUUGGCCA